GGGGGAUGGUGAAGUUGUUUCUUCCCUUCUCUGGUUCCUUUCUUCCUUCGCUUCUUCGUUCCCCGAUGCUCUUUGAUGAAAUCUGUUGUUCGGGAUUUUCUGCAAUUUCGUUUAUCAUUCUCCACGUCUUUCGUUUAAUUCGAUGAAGGAGGGUGUCCCAAAGGGUGAAAUGAUCUCUAUUAAAUCUUUCUAAUCUAUUUUGUGCUCAGCAUGUUCUUCUUUUGACCCCAGUCCGUUCUUAAGGUCCCUUAUUGUUUCUGAAACGAUUGUGGUUCGUGCUGUCGGCUUUGACCAUCUCGUUUGCUGUAGAUGAGGAAUAUAGGUGAUUUUGGUCCGUCAUUUGUAGUCGGUUCAUGAUCUUUACGAGGGGAAUUUGAUCUAAUCACCUGGAAUUCUGAUUUUAGGCAGAGUAAUGGGUAUGGUUGAUAUGCAAGCGGAUGAUUAUGAGGCUUCAAUUAGGCUGCUGGUUUUGGUUUUUAUGGAUUUUUAUCACGUGGAUAAUUUUGAAGCGCGCAGCACUGCAUCGUUCUGUCAGCACUGCAUCGUUCUGUAGGGUAGUCUUUUUCUUGAAGUGUCCCUUCUGUUGUUAGACUGAGAGAUUGAAAAGUUUCUUACUGUUGAUCCGGUUUUUCCCGUUUAUGACGGGUAGCCAUUUUGUUCUCAAGGUGGACAUCAUCUACUUGUGACUUGACGCUUUUCCCUGCAGAUCUGACAUUCUGCUGUAGCUCUGGUUCAUCAAGCAAUCUACUUCCCUACAGCCCUAUGACUUUUUGAACCAGCUUCUAUUGUGAAAUCUAGCACGGUCGUUCAUAGCAACUGUUAAUUGGGAUUGUUAUCUGUGCCUUCCAUAAUUUUGCUGGAUAGUCUGAUGCGUUCCAAGAGAAGUUUUUUCUUGGAUAAAUGGGGUCACUUUGAGGUUAUAUUUGGAAUUUGUAAGUUUACAAAGAAAAAUCCUAAAGGAGCGUUCUAUCUUGUUACCUUAAGCAUCUUAUUAAGGUGGAAGCCGACUCUUCUUCAAGGCUUGAGUGUAUUGGUGAAUAGUCUGACAAUCUAUUUUGAUCCAAUCAGCAGUCUCGAGGACUAUUUCUUCUGCCCUCGGAUUACAGUUCCCUUGUUGGAAUCUAGCUACUUUAUUUACUGGGGAUAAUUUCUUUAGGUGUGGAGAACCUGCCGCCAUUGGAGAAAUUGAUGUAUUAUGAAGUAAUUGUUAUCUGAGGCUUCUCUAUAUUGGUUGUCGGGAAGUAGAACUCCUACAAAUUGUGUCGCUUUCAUAUUCCAUUCCGCAUAUGUUAAAGUACCUCUACUUGAUUUUUCAGGUCGCAUGUUCUGCGACAAGGUGAUGGUGGAGCCAACCGUUCUUCAUUUGCUGCAAUAACUUUUCUCUCUCUUUUUUCUCUUUUUCUAUUCCUUUGGGUUUUCUGACAUGUCCUUUUCCCUUUACAACAUCUUUGUUUUCUCCCUCUACUUAAAGAGCCUGAUAGUUUUGGCUUCUUAUUUUCCAUAUGUUAUGUCGUACAUAUAGUUAAAGAAGACUGAACUCAUAGCUUGAACUGUGUCAGUAGUUAGGAUAUCAGAGCAUUUAGUUACGAUUUAAUUUUUAUUAACCUUUUCUAACUGCAUUUGAGAUAUAACUUCUACCUUUCAAAAAUUGUUAUUUAUUGUUGUUUAAUUUAGAGAAGUUUUGUAGGCUUUGAGCUAGCUGGUUGAUUGUCUGUGGUUGUUGGAUGCUUGGAUGCACCUUUCUUUAUUAUGGUUAGCACAAGACUCGUGUGGACAAGGAGACCUUCAUAUUUAUUUUUUCAAUCAUAGCUGACUGCUGCAUGUUGAAAGUAGAUACAAUUUUGCUGAUGCUAUUUACUUUUUUCUCCACUUUCCCUUAUCUCAGCUUUGUUUUAAUUAUAUUGAUGGUUUUUGCCAAGCUUCCAGUUGGAACUUGGGAAAAUAAUUAGCUUGUCUUGUGAUAUGUCAUUGGUUAUCUUGUAUUUUCUUCCCAGGUCUUCUUUUUUUUCUUUUUUUUUUCUUUUUUGUAUUGAGAUAGUCAUGUCCAGAUUUAGUAGAACAUGUUACAAAAGAUUAUCUUGCUUUUCCAAGACUUCUGAUCCUCCCAAUGGAGGUUAUCCUCAGAAGAAGGCGGUACAUUAAAAGGUCUGAAGCUGCUUAUUGGUUUGUUGUGGUAUUGAUAUUUUACCUUACACGAUGAAGCUGAUGACACAUCUCAUAAAGAACACAAUCUUGGGCACGAAGCAAGCUUCUUCAUGCGGAAUAUGGUGUUAGUAUUUUCCUUGGCUGAAGGUUUCACCUGCUUGAUUACUUGCCAACUAUUAAUGAUCAUUAUAGGUUCAAUAAUUCCUACUUUUGAUGGGGGAUGUUACAUUAAAGAUGAAGUUAGAUGCUUGAUUGCUGAUUUCAUGUUUUCAACUGAGUGAUUCCUCACUGACAUUGUGUCAAAGUAGAGCUGGUAAUUUUUCUAUUCAUGAGGAGGCUUCUUAACAUUGGUCAAGAGUCAAGACUGUCAUAUAAAGAAUGAAGAUCUCAGUUGGUUAAGGACUAGUUCUCCUUUAGCAAUCAAUGAAAUCCUGAUUCAAGUUUCAGACUAUUGAUUCCUUAUUCAAGCACGGAGCUCAUGUUCUAUUUUAAGGUAAAGAAUGUGUACUUUUGAUGGCUAAGCAAUCAAUCCAUCAAGAAAGGGAUCACUUUUACCCUUCUAACCGUUUUGGCCGAUGGUUUUGGGCCUAGCAUCUCAUCCCUCCCCCAGGUGGGACACUGUAGUUUCAGAGAAAGCUUCUUAUCAUUGAUCAAGACUGUCAUAUAAAGAAACGCAGAUCUCAGUUGGUUAAGGACUACUUCUCCUUCAGCAAUCAAUUAAAUCCUGAUUCAAGUUUUAGAUGAUUGAUUUUUUUUCAAGCACACAGAGCUCAUGUUCUAUUGUAGGGUAAAGAACGUGGACUUUUGAUGGCUAAGCAAUCAAUCCAUCAAGAAAGGGAUCAAUUUUUACCCUUCCAACCAUUUUGCAUAUGGUUUUCGACCUAGCAUCUCAUUCCUCCCCCAGGUGAAGUUCAAGCUUGCUGCAAUCUUAGAAUCAAGAAAAGCAGUUUGGUGUCCAUCUAUGGCACGUUUUAAGUGGCAUUGCAAUCUAAUCAGUCGUCAGUGUAUCCCUACCGCAGAGUCUUUACUUUUGCUCCACUAAGAUUACCAUAUCUAGAUUUGGUACAGGAGGCAUACAAAUGGGUUUUCUUCCUGUUGAAGUUAUGUUUAACACUGAAAUUAGUUUUGGUUUGUCAUUUGGAAGUUCUGCUUUACUUUAGUCAGUGAUUCUAGAUGAAGAAUGAAAUCUCAGUUGGACAGAAAAGUCAAUCCAUCUUGUGGUGUUGGGAUGUUACUUCUCCCCAAGGAUGCAGCUUUCUAAUGGCGGUGUCACAUUAAGUUUGGAAAUGGACACUUUCCUGAGUUUGAAAACACAAAAUUAUCUUAUUGGUUUUCUGCAUGAUUCCUCACUCAUGUAGCGUCUGCAUAGUGCUGAUAUGUCUUCGGUUGCAAAGGGAAGCUUCCUAGCUUUGACAAAGACUGGUAAAUGAAAAUGCAAUCUCAGUUAGGCACGAACGGCUUCCUCUUAGCGGUCAUGCAGUUUGGUGCCUCUGGGGAUAAAUAUUUUCCGUACUGAUCCUGAUUCAAUUUCAUCUUAUCAUUCCUCUUCAAGCAUCAGAGAAUCCUGGUUUCGGUGGUUACACAUUAAAAGCAUAUCCUACAUGUAUGUUGAGCCUGACGUUCAUCCCCUUGGCAAGACAAUGUUAUUGCUUACUAACCCUCGUGCAUGCUUUGGGACUGAGAGGAUAGUCGAAUAUGACAUUUUCAUAAAAAGGAUCUUAUUAAUUUUAGCUUUCUUUUUAUGUAAUUUGAUACUAAUGCAUUACUUAUUGCAUGGGCUUGUACCUUAAUUUUGUGUUGUUGGUACGGGUGGCAGAAUUUAGUUGUUUCGUAAUAAAAGUGGGUUUUGCACCUAAAA